CAGAGAACGAGGGAUGUUAUGCAAUCUGCCCUUCUCCAUUUCCCUGGCACCACCCCCACUCUGGGAUUCAGGAAGGAGGAGGAGGGCUUUUCAGAAUGGGAGGUGUGGAUUUUGACCUCUCUGGGCCUCAGUUUUCUCAUCUGUCAAGUGGGGGGGGGGAGUAUCUUCCUUAUGGUGUGAUGUGAAAAGACAGCACACUGUGCCUUCUGACCACAGGGAGUAGGAUGGGAAUGUGGGCUUUCUCCCUGCUCAUGUGAUCUUAGGCUGGUACCAUCACUCCUCAGUUUUCCUAUCUCUAAAUGGGGUCAAUCAUAAGUAUCUGACAAGGAGGUUGUAGGGGUUAAAACAAACCCCUCAAAUCCUUGGUAUUGGGUGGGUGCUCAGCCGCUGGUUUUUAUUGUGACUGUCAGCAAAGGCGCGGUGUCCUGUUAACGCCCUGCAGGGUCCUUGUAGAUAGGGUGUGUCUUCCUGCUGGCUGUGGGCGGGGUCGCCAGUCCCAAAAGACGUGGCCAGAGCUGGCAACUAAUGGAGCUGUCAGCCCGAUUCAGAGCACUCCUUGGAGCUCCCCAGAGGCAGGUGCUGAUGCCACAUCGAUGAGCCACGUUCCCCUGAUGCGCUCCUGACAUUUCCUGCCUGCCUUCCCCGGCCUGCCUGCCCGGGUCAGCGGUCACACUGAGUCACAGCCGCUCCCUGCAGGCUCUGGCCGCCCACUGCCCCGGGGCGCGGGGCGGGAGGAAGCUGGACCGAGUCAGUGCACUGGUAGGAGCCAUGGUAUCCAGGAGAAGGAGGGAGCAGCCGCUGCCUCUGUCCCCCCAGGUCCUAGGGGAAGCUGCCUGUGCACUGCAGCCUGCUGCAUUUCCAAGCCAACCUGGCACGAGGCCCCUUGGUGCGCUGCCCUGGCUCUGGCUGCCCCAGACUUGAGUCCUUCCUGGAUCACACUGACCUCAGAGCCCCAGGCCCCAUGUGGACCUGCUCACAGGCCUGAGGUUUGGCUCUCAGAUGCCCCAUUUCAGUUUGGGUCCAUCACUCUGCCUGGUUCUUCUGGGAUGUUACACCCUGCUCUGGACACCCCUGCACCCCAGCCCCUUCUGCCAGCCAGCUGACCCGCGGCUCCCGAGGAAGUGGCAGCAGUCUCUUCUGGAGUGUGCAGACGUGGCUGUGCUUCCUCUGGCACUGUGCUGGGCUGGCAAAUGACCCCUCUCCCCUGGGAUCACAGCUCCCUUUCCAAAGAUCGGUCCUUCCUUGGCCUCUGGCAGUGGGUUGCUAUGAGCCUUGCACGCCUUUCCUCCAAGCCCUGCCCCGACCCCGGGCCCACAGUGCUCCACAGGGCGGAGGCCACCCCAGGCCACCUUUGUCCCUUCAUGCUCCUCCCUUCAGCUCUUCAGGACUGGGGGCCACCAGGAAGGCCCAGAUCUGGUCCCAGGAAUGCACUUCAAACUGCCAGCGCCCCCAGCAGCUGCAGCAGUAGCUCAGCCAGCCAACUAGGGCACUGACAGGAAGAUGGGGGCGGCAUGGAGACCACAUUUCCUCCCACUGCCUGAGCCCCUGAGCCCCGAUGGCAACACCAGCCCAGAGCCCGUGAGCAGCAGGGCUGGUCUCAAGGUGAGACCAGUGAGAAGCACGUGGAAAUGCCCCCCAACCCCACUCCUUCCCCCAAAGCUGUGUGUGAGCAGGUGCCAAAUCCCAAGGCGGGGCAGCACAUGGCGGGGCAGGAGCUGAAGUCCACAGGGAGCUGCCGCUGAGGACAGUCUCACCUCAGCAGCUGUGGAGACGGGAUAAGGUCUCCUGAGCCCCUGCCCAGGGCUCUCCCACACCUUAUGGCACUGACUGCUCUGAAGUGGCCAGUAGCUGCCUCUGUCUGGUGGAUCUUCAUCAGGUCCACCUCAGGUGUGGCUUCUGGGAGAUUUAAAUUCUCCGAGCUGCCCCGGUGCCCAGCCUUGGGCUGUUUUCUCUACACCAUGCUGAGCUGGCAGGUGACUGUGCUGGGACGGACCUCUGCAUGGGUCAGGUGCCCCUUCUCCAAACUACAGCCUGGCCCCAGAGCCGGCAAUAGACAUAAAGGAAGAAAUCCAAUGAGCCGGGUAAUAGUGGAAAUUAAUAGUGGUAAUUAAUUGCUAAGAGCAUGCAGAGACCAUGGCAACGACGGUUGGAUGACAGAGGCACAAACCUUAUUUCCUUUCAGGGCUGCGCUCCAAAAGGCUCCAUUUCUUUGUAAACAGCUUGCAGUAGCUUUGUGGAGGUGCCAAGUGCCCUGGGUCUGAGCCCCCUCCUUGAGUAGAAAACACUGGGGUCAGCCUUGAGUCAGUGCCCCGUCUGCCAUGCUCUCCCUCGCUGUGUCAUCCUGGGCAAUUCACUGUUCAUCUCUGAGCCUUUUUCCAUCUCUAUAGUGGGGAGAACAAACCCAAUUGACAAGAGCUUUUGAAGAGUCCACAGGUGACCUAACGUGAGAGGGAGAUGGACUGGAGCCAGCCUACCUGAGUUCAUUUCUGGCACCAUCAUUUAUUAGCUGUGUGACCUUGGGUCAGGGCAUCAACCACUCUGAGCCUCAGUGGUCACAUCUGUAAAAUGGGGUGAUAAUAAUAGUACCCAUACCAAAGGUUGUUAUGAGGACUAAAUGAGAUGAUAAAUACAAAAUGCUAAGCACGUACAGCUUAACUGCACUUUCAGUGUACUAUAUACCUGUAACAGCACUCUGUUGUGAAAUGUUUAUAGGGUCUCAGCUCUGUCCGUAAUAAACCUAUUAAAUUAUUACUA